rnacentral:rRNA from 1 species
GACGAACGCUGGCGGCUUGCUUAACACAUGCAAGUCGAACGGCAAGGUCCUGCUUUUUUGCGCUGCUCGAGUGGCGAACGGUUGAGUUACCCUUGAGUAACCUGCCCUUGCCUUUGGGAUAACUUCAGGCCACUGUGGCUAAUACCGCAUAGGAGCUCCUGCUUCAUGGUGGGGGUUGGAACGUUUCGGCGGUUGGGGAUGGACUCGCGGCGUAUCAGCUUGUUGGUGGGGUAGUGGCUUACCAAGGCUUUGACGGGUAGCCGGCCUGAGAGGGUGACCGGCCACAUUGGGAAUGAGAUACGGCCCAGACUCCAACGGGAGGAAGCAGUGAAGAAUAUUGAACAAUGGGCGGAAGCCUGAUGCAGCAACGCCGCGUGCGGGAUGACGGACUUAGGGUUGUAAACCGAAUUAGCCUGUGACGAAGCGUGAGUGACGGUAAUGGGUAAAGAAGCACCGGCUAAAUACGUG